GUAUGUGAGGGCGAUUGAACUGGGACAUCUGUUACCCCACUGAUUGCCAGGGUUGAUUUGGCUGAUCUGGCUGGCUAGGCGGGUGUCCCCUUCCUCCCUCACCACUCCAUGUGCAUCCCUCCCAAAGCUGUACACUCAGUCGAAGAGGACGGCCUUCCCCAAACAGAUAGAUGUGCCAAGAACUAUGCUAAUAGUUAAGUUUGGAAGUCAGUGUAGUUCUUUAACCCAGAUACACUGAAUUCUUUUUCACUCCUACUCUCAGAGAGUGUCCCUUUUCUGACUCUUCAAGGCUCAUUCAAGUUUUGUUGCAACUGGAUUUUUAAUUUUU
rnacentral:snRNA from 1 species